AACGAACGCUGGCGGCAUGCCUAACACAUGCAAGUCGAACGAGACCUUCGGGUCUAGUGGCGCCCGGGUGCGUAACGCGUGGGAACCUGCCCUUAGGUUCGGAAUAACUCCCCGAAAGGGGUGCUAAUACCGGAUAAUGUCUUCGGACCAAAGAUUUAUCGCCUUUGGAUGGGCCCGCGUUGGAUUAGCUAGUUGGUAGGGUAAAAGCCUACCAAGGCGACGAUCCAUAGCUGGUCUGAGAGGAUGAUCAGCCACACUGGGACUGAGACACGGCCCAGACUCCUACGGGAGGCAGCAGUGGGGAAUAAUGGACAAUGGGCGAAAGCCUGAUCCAGCAAUGCCGCGUGAGUGAUGAAGGCCUUAGGGUUGUAAAGCUCUUUUACCCGGGAUGAUAAUGACAGUACCGGGAGAAUAAGCUCCGGCUAACUCCGUG
rnacentral:rRNA from 1 species